rnacentral:rRNA from 1 species
UACGUAGGGUGCGAGCGUUGUCCGGAAUUAUUGGGCGUAAAGAGCUCGUAGGCGGUUUGUUGCGUCGGCUGUGAAAUCCCGAGGCUCAACCUCGGGUCUGCAGUCGAUACGAGCAAACUAGAGUGUUGCAGGGGGAGACUGGAAUUCCUGGUGUAGCGGUGAAAUGCGCAGAUAUCAGGAGGAACACCAGUGGCGAAGGCGACUAUCUGGGCUGCAACUGACGCUGAGGCGCGAAGGCUAGGGUAGCAAACAGG